rnacentral:rRNA from 1 species
GACAGAGGAUGCAAGCGUUAUCCGGAAUGAUUGGGCGUAAAGCGUCUGUAGGUGGCUUUUUAAGUCCGCCGUCAAAUCCCAGGGCUCAACCCUGGACAGGCGGUGGAAACUACCAAGCUGGAGUACGGUAGGGGCAGAGGGAAUUUCCGGGUGGAGCGGGUGAAAGUGCGUAGAGAGUACGGAAAAGAACACCAACGGCAAAGA